rnacentral:rRNA from 1 species
UACGGAGGGUGCGAGCGUUGUCCGGAAUCAUUGGGCGUAAAGGGCGCGUAGGUGGCUUCUCAAGCGUGCGGUGAAAGCCUGGGGCUCAACCCCGGGUCGGCCGUGCGAACUGGGGGGCUUGAGCACUGUAGAGGCAGGCGGAAGUUCCGGGUGUGAGCGGUGGAAUGCGUAGAGAUCCGGAAGAACACCGGUGGCGAAGGCGGCCUGCUGGGCAGUUUAGCUGACACUGAGGCGCGACAGCGUGGGGAGCAAACAGG